rfam:Schistosoma curassoni strain Dakar, Senegal genome assembly, scaffold: SCTD_scaffold0003015
AUCCAGGUGACGAGUCAGUGAUAAGACGAAACGCGCGUCAAACUGGAU